rnacentral:lncRNA from 1 species
AACUAAUGAAUCUGUCACAGAAUGUUGGAAGAAUGACUAGCCCUUGGCCUAAAGGAGCAGACAAAGCUAAGCUGGCAGCCAGAGGGGAAGCCCUUGUCUAAAAGCCCCACCUUCUCUGAAGGCAGUUCCUCCGCAGCAGUGGACACCAUUCCUGCUUUCCCCAAAGUUUCCUGCCACCAUUGUGGGAAAAGCUGCCUCUCUGGAGGACUUCCUGACCAGCAGAUGGCUCACUUUUCUCCCAAGUAGGAGGUGCUGGGAGCUUCUGACAUAUGGGCCCCUCUAAUCCAAGUUGCUAAAAGAAUUCAAAACUGAGGCUGCA